UCUACUGGGAAUAAAUGUGUAGUCUGGCCUGCCCACUGAAAUUUAAAGGGCCGCGGUAUCUGAACCGUGCUAAGGUAGCAUAAUCAAUAGUCUCUUAAUUGGGGUCUAGAAUGAACGGUCGGACGAAAAAUUAGCUGUCUUGCAUGUAAAAUUGAAUUUUACUUUUAAGUGAAAAGGCUUAAAUUUGAUGAGGGGACGAUAAGACCCUAUGAAGCUUAAUGUAAAUCGCUCUAAAGUAGUCUUAAAUAGUUGGGUGUUUUAUUUUUAUAGUGNUUUACAUUGCGCUGGGGCGGCUGUAAUAUAAGUUUAACUGUUAUUCGGUGAAAAAUAAUUAUAUUUAGGUAAAUUUGAUCCUUUUNUUAUGGAUUAAAAGAUUUAAGUUACUCUAGGGAUAACAGCGUAAUUCUUCUUGAGAGUUCAUAUCGACAGAAGUAGUUGCGACCUCGAUGUUGAAUUAAAAUUUCAUUAAGGUGUAGGAGCUUUAAUAGUGGGUCUGUUCGACCUUUAAAAUUUUAC
rnacentral:rRNA from 1 species